rnacentral:rRNA from 1 species
CGGUGUCUAGGUGGGUAGGAAUUUUUUGUUAGCCGUGGGGCCAGCCAGGUGAGGGGGCGCGCUCGCUCUAGCUCUCCUGUCAUCCGGUCCUCCGCGGUACCGCUUCGUCUUCGUCGUCGUCGGGUUCGGGCGGGGGCGGCUGCGGCUGCGGCGCGGCGGCGGGGGCCUCAAGUUCUGCCGCGUGAGCGGCACCAAGUGGAUGCGGAGGUACCAGUGCGAGAAGUGGGAGACGGGCGGUAAGCAGUAGGAGGACACCAUGUGCCACCACGUGCGCCUGCCUAGCCACCGCGCGUGGAUGCUCGUGGAGGCGCUGGCGCCCUAGGACCUCCCCGAGUUCCGGUAGACCGGGUACGGGUGGCAGCAGCGGCCCUUCUAGUAGGAGCCGAAGCGAGAGAAGCUCCGGCGGGACGUCGACGAGGAAGGGCCCUUCGCGAAGCUCCCCGGGUAGAGCGGGCGGCCCUUACACGGGCAGAUGUUCCGUUUACCGAAUGAUCGUAUACGCCACUGAAACCAGUGGAUGGAUUCGGAAACCACCAAACCUUAUAAAUUGGGACGUUAUCAUAUACUAGUGGACCCUCUCUAUAUGAGCCGAAACCAGAAACCUUCGGAACACAAGACAAAUACGGACAUGUAUUUCCCAGUACAUCGUGGUAGAAGUAGACUGAGACCUAGGAGUCCCUUACGCAAGUAACUAAAGAUGACCCCUUACCUUGACAUAGGAGCUUAACCAUUCGUGAAGCUAUAGUUUCAGAAGUGUUUGACGGCGAAACCCUACUACAGGACCCGACAAGAACGACAGUGCAUGACGUAUUUCGUCAUACUUUACUUACCGGCUCAACGUCUGAGGUACGAACACUUAUGACGUGACUACAACUAGAUAUAGUGUUUCAAAAAGACCACCCUCAGACCUAUAACCACAUGAUACCUGUAACGCGUACUAUCUCGACCAAAGAUGUAAACGACCCCUACGAACCAUACCCAAGGUAGUUGAAUGUGGAGAGGACCUUACAUGGAACAGUUAGUAGGACACUUAAACCCAGGGGUCGAUCGUUAGAGCUAAGAGGAGCGACCUUAUAACACGUAUAUGUAUUUGAUACUGACACUAGCAGUCGCGGUUCUUAAAGCGGCCUGUUUGCCCUUUCGGAGUCAGACCCCGUUUCGGGGCAGUUUCUAACAGCGAAGGAUAGUCUGGUGUUUUCCUCUUUGUUUUUGGUCAGAAGAGAACUGAAGACCUACCACCCCGAAAAGAGCAGUGAAAGUGAUACAGGGUCUCUAUGAUCGUCGUAAAAAGACCUGGCAAGGUCGAGAAAAGUUAGUAAAAUACGGUAUGAAGAUACACUAUGUAGACUGGUAAGACGACGAACUGGCUCGCUUCUCCCUACUGCUAUCUACGAGUUGUUUCAUGCCGUUCAUGACCUUCUACAUGACGUUGUCUCAUGGUAUGUCCCAACAAGGACCAUAAAUGACUUACCACACGAGACGUUGAGUCCUCUUCUUUCAUUGAUUCGACGACUACACUAAGAGAGGGAGAAGUCGCCGGGCCAUGAUAGACGUAAACACAUCAUUGCUACAGUAAUAAAUCGAGACUACGUACGUAGUCACAUCCAACAUACAUGGGAAGUGUACCCGGCAACCAACGAGACGAUGAUACUAUCCUCCUUAGCUCGCAUUAAGUUCAAAAAAGAGUACUAAAAUCAUCGAUCGUACCGUUACUUUUACUUGACGGAACAAGAGAUCACAAAUGAUUAUAAGAAUAAUAACUCUCUCGAUACAAGAGAUCCAAAAAUAAAAAUCACUCUCUAAGUACAAGAGAUGAAACUGGAACUUAUGAGAACGUCGUUCUCAUAUAAUUAAGUACUUGAUAACAAUUCUAACCUUUUCGUAUCGGGGCUUUGGUUUAAAAGCGAACGAUUAGAGAACUACACCAUCGAUAUACAUGACUUCUCUCAGUUGUGUCCAUAUGUGGAUCAUGUAACUAGUUAUAUGACUUGUCUCCUCGACACCCCAUAUUCGACUCUCGUUCCGUGCACUUUACCUGUUGAAAAUAUGAUCCUUAAACCACCAAACGUCCGACAAAGACUACAUGUUGGAAACAACCAAGUCCUUCAAUUUCAGAAUAUUGUCGAGUUGAAAAAAAAAUAUUGUGUUAAACAACCAGUAAAAGAGAGUUUUUUUGAACAGCAAGUGUCUGCCCCACGCUUCCCUAUAAGGACCAAUUUAACCAGUUCUAACUAUGUUCGAAAAGUAUAUGAACAAAGGAAACCUUGUGGAGAACUGCCGGGGUGCUCAACCCAUAGUAACUGCUUGUGAAACAAACGUGAAAGAAGAGGCUCUUUGGAAGCUCCUGAACCCAAGUCAUAGUCGUCACGAAACGAACAGACCGGCCCCCUUAAGUCCGCGCUGCAUCCCGUCUUUGGUCGUCGGCACCGCGUUUUUGCUCGUUAGUACGUUCAACCUGCCGCCGUCCAGCAGCAGGGUUAUUCUGUGGACGGUCAAGAGGCCGCAGCCGCAACCGGAUGGCGUCGCCCCGAACAUGUCGGUGCCGUGCGUGUCGCGACAAAGGGGAGUGGUUCUAGCGGCACAGGGGAAACAAGCGGCGGCCCUAGGUGGCCGGGAGCGCGAGGAGCAUCGAGCUGUGGAAGCAGAAGAAGUAGGGCUUCAUGCCAGACGGGGGCAUCCACAGGCCCCACGAGUGGUAGUCUUCGAGCAGGGCCCAGCAGCUGAGGCGCUCGUGGCGGGUG